CCUACGGGAGGCAGCAGUGAGGAAUCUUGGUCAAUGGCCGGAAGGCUGAACCAGCCAUGCCGCGUGAAGGUCAGUGCCCUAUGGGCGUUAAACUUCUUUUGUGCGGGAGCAAUAAUGGUCACGUGUGGCCAGACGAGAGUACCGUACGAAUAAGCAUCGGCUAACUCCGUGCCAGCAGCCGCGGUAAUACGGGGGAUGCAAGCGUUAUCCGGAUUUAUUGGGUUUAAUGGGUGCGUAGGCUGUGAGGUAAGUCAGCGGGGAAAUGCCCCCGCUCAACGGGGUGAAGUGCCAUUGAUACUGCCUUGCUGGAAUGCGGAUGCCGUGGGAGGAAUGUGUGGUGUAGCGGUGAAAUGCAUAGAUAUCACACAGAACACCGAUUGCGAAGGCAUCUCACGAAUCCGCGAUUGACGCUGAUGCACGAAAGCGUGGGUAUCAAACAGGAUUAGAUACCCCAGUAGUC
rnacentral:rRNA from 1 species